rnacentral:rRNA from 1 species
GGUUUUUAGAAAUUAUUAAAAAUCAGGCCUGCUCAGUGCAAAAGUAAACAGCCGCGGUAUUAUGACCGUGCUAAGGUAGCAUAAUCAUUAGUCUUUUAAUUUUAGACUGGUAUGAAUGGUUAAACUAAGUAAUUUUGUCUUGGGAUAAUAUUUCGAAUUUUAUAUUUUAGUAAAAAACCUAAAAUUUCUUUUAGGGACGAGAAGACCCUGUCAAGCUUUACAAAUUAGGUUAUUAUUCUUAAAAUGGCUGAGAUUUGUUUUACUGGGGCAGUAGAUAAUAAAAUUUUAUUUAUAUAUUGAAGGGGUAAUUUUUGUUAAAUCAGGAAAUUCCUAAAAAAAAAUAAGUUACUGCAGGGAUAACAGCGUAAUUCUUUUUAAGAGUUCUUAUCAUCAUUAGAGUUUGCGACCUCGAUGUUGGAUUAAAAUUCCUAAUUCACGCAAUAGUGAAAAAAGGAAGUCUGUUCGACUUUUAAAAUUUUCCA